UUAAAACAUAGAUUCUAACUAUAUAAGCCAUUUUACACUGAAUUCUCUCAUGCUACGAGACCCAUUUCCAUUUUCAGUCAAACUUACCUCUCUGCAGCUACAAUGGGUACUUCUGUAAUCCCUGUUCUUCCCGUAGAACUCAUCACGGAGAUCCUCUUAAAGCUGCGUCCAAAGCCCUUGUUUAGAUUCAAGUGCGUUUCAAAGUCAUGGCUUCAACUAAUCUCUAGCCCUUAUUUUGUGAAAACCCAUAUGAAAUUAGCAGCUAAUGACAAAGCAUUCAGCAGCCAUAGGGUUAUAUUUGAACACUUCAAAAGCAAAUUCAAGGUAUGUUGUCUCCCUUCCUUGUUUCAAAAAGGAACUAGGGCUCAGGUAUUUGACAUUGAUUCUCCCGUGAAAAAAACCCCUCGCUGGAUUGUGGGUUCGGCCAAUGGACUGAUUUGUUUUUUGAUUGACUUUAAGGAGGCAUUUAUAUGGAACCCAACAAUUAGGAAGUCCAAGAAAUUGCGCAAGUUAGAUGUUCAAAUGACGCCUCGUACCUCUUAUUACAGACAUGGUUUUGGAUAUGAUGAGUUACAUGACGAUUAUAAAGUAGUAAUUAUUUGCGGUACUUCUGAUGAUGGUGGUUCAUUUGGUACUGUGGUCAACAUUUACAGUUUGAGGACUGAUUCUUGGACAAGAGUCUAUAACUUUCCGGGCUACUAUAUGAGAGAUUAUUUAGGUAAAUGUGUCAAUGGGAAGAUUUAUUGGGCUUCAACUGCUGAUGUUGAUGCGCUCAAUGUUUGCAACCUCAUAACUCUUGAUUUAACAGAUGAGACAUGGGGAAAGUUGGAGCUUCCUAAUUAUGGAGAAGCCAAUUCUCGUUUGAUGCUGGGAGGGGUGGGAAGUGAUCUUGCAUUGGUUUGUAUUUGUCCUGAAGGAACUACUUCUGAUGUGUGGAUGAUGAAGGAUUGUGGAGUUAAUGCAUCUUGGACAAAGAUGUUCACCAUCAAAUAUCCUCAAUAUAUUGGGGAAUAUAUGUUCACUUCAUCCAUUUUUUCUUUCUCUACACAUUUUUGCCAGCCGAAUAAUGGGGAAAUCUUAUUAUUGCUUCCCCCAACAAUCAUGAUAUACAACCCAAAGGAUGGUUCCACCAGAAAACUGGAAGUCACUGGACUUAGGGGAUGUCAACAUGCAGAAAUCUGUGUAGAAACCCUUGUUGAUCCUAAUGAGUUGUCCCACAACGGAGGGAUUUGAGGUCCAUUUAUCAGAUCCCCUAUUGAGUUUGCGAGUUUGAGCCGUGGAAAUAGCCUCUUGCAGAAAUGUAGGGUAAGGCUGCGUACAAUAGACCUUUGUGGUCCACCGUGAGAUGACCCCUGAUGUGUCGUGAUAAGGCUGCUGAGGAUGUGGUGUCAUGGGUCUAUCUUGAAGGAUACAUUCUCAUUUCUCACAAGCAUGUGGCUUGGCAACGCUAUACCUUUGGUGUAAAAAGAGAAAUCCAGAGCCUUUGACAGAUUCUUGGAAGGAACCAAAGUUGGAUACAGCCAAAAAAAUCUGAUGUUGAAUUAGAUCGAGAAGAAGAAACUAAAUCUUGAACAUCUUUUUCAUAUCAUCUUUUAUUAUUUUAAAUUAAUUAUUUAUGGUACAAUAUUCAGAAAAGUUGAAAAGCACACAAUGCUACUUGUGUUGCAGGCGUUGGAGAGUGUAUACUAUGGUAAUAGAUACUGCUAGACAUUUGUUGAAACUUUGAAAACAUCGACCUCUUCACCACUUUGCUUCGGGAUCUCCACCAUGGCUAUAUGAUGGAGUAUUACAAAGAGAAUCCAUCAGCCGUUUCCCUUUCUCUAUAAGUUUUGUAUUUUUGUUUCUUUUCCUUUUCUAUUACUCACCUUCUCACCCAUGACUAUCUAAUAUCAAGAAAUCCUUUCCCCUUCUAUUUCA